rnacentral:rRNA from 1 species
UACAGAGGUCCCGAGCGUUGUUCGGAUUCAUUGGGCGUAAAGGGUGCGUAGGCGGCGGGGCAAGUCUGAUGUGAAAUCCCGGGGCUCAACCCCGGAACUGCAUUGGAUACUGCCUUGCUUGAGUACUGGAGAGGAGACUGGAAUUUACGGUGUAGCAGUGAAAUGCGUAGAGAUCGUAAGGAAGGCCAGUGGCGAAGGCGAGUUCCUGGACAGUUGCUGACACUGAGGCACGAAGGCUAGGGGAGCAAACGGG